rnacentral:miRNA from 1 species
UGUGUGUGCGUGUGUCUGCAUGUAUGUGUGUGUGCAUGCGUAUGUACGUGCACACACACACACACACACACACAUAAAUGUCGUACAUA